rnacentral:lncRNA from 1 species
GGGUCAGUCAGGGUUUCAGCAUGUGCAGGAAGAGAAUCUCCAAACCUGAAUUGAAAGUCAUCUUAAUUGCCUUACAAAGAUGGGUGCUGAUGGAGCAGAUUGUUGCCAUGUCACCAGGAUAUCAGGAUAGCAAACAGCUGGCAAUGAAGCGCCAUUUUUCGCAGAAGCAGAAUGGACUUCGUCCACGUGUGCCACCGUCUAUAGAAUCCGUCGCUUCCACCUUUGCAGAAGAACGAGCACUCAGAUCAGCUGAGCUGAAGCCUCCCAAAGUCUGGCCAUACCUGGUAGCAAGUCAUUACAUCUCUGGUGCCCCCCACAGGGCCAGACGGGUGCUGGCAGCAGGUAGGUUGAUUGGCGUACAGUCAUACGUAUGACUGUACACGUUACAGAGGCUGAUUUAAAACACUGUCAUUUGCUGAGAUGAGCCACCUUUUCUCUAAAAGAAAGAAUAUAAAUGUUCUGAUCUGUCUUUAGAACUGCAUGAAUGCUUGCAUCAUACCCUGAAGGGGUAGCUUUCUCUCCAAAAAAAAGCCUUCACCUUGCUGCCUAAUCAAAUUGCACACUACUCCCUGCUUUUGUAGAUAAAUUGCUGUGCGGGAUGUUUUGGCCCCGGGCUAUGUUGCCUCCUCUGUGUGCGAUGGUGGCCUUUUGUGGCCCUACCUUACAAGGACCCACGGGUUCCCAGGGUUGAGCCCACUAAGUCUUUGCAGAAAUUGCAUUCCACGGCUCAGCAGAACACAUUUUGCCACGGAUUUAAAAUAGCCUCUAUAGGUAACUGUCAUGCUUUCUUUGGUGAGGAAAAAAAUUGCCAAACCUUAGAAAAGAAUGGAAGGCAACAGCCAAUAUACAAAAACACUGGUUCUUAAUAGAGCAAAUCCUUGAUGCUUAGGGCCAACUGACACACCACCCAAGGCGUCCGAAUGCCUCUGCAGUUACCUCUGAUGAGUCUCGGUGACCCUCUUAGUACACCUAACCCCCCUUUCAGUCUGCAGCCAUAGAGAGGAACCCAGACAGGGGAUGGAGAGCAGAUUGUCAACAGUGUUAGGAUCUUGUCUGUCGGGGGCACAGGGUAGACAUGAAAGAGAGCACCAAAGGCAUCACAAGAGAGAUCAUGAUGUUUUCUUCAUCUGAUUUCAGUCAGUGGUGGCCAAUGCCCAGGCUGCCCCUAGCCCUUAAUGCAAUGAGUGUCCCUAACUGUGGGAAGUGUCAGCUCUCCUUUUUGAAAAGCGCUAUACAGUUGUCCCUUGACCAACACUGGUUUGAGCUGCCUGGGUCGGCUUGUAUGUGGAUUUUUUUUUUUUAAAUAUAGUACAAUACUAUGACUCUAUUUUCUCUUCGUUAUGAUUCUCUUGUUUCUCUAGCUUUAUUUUAAGAAUACAGUAUAUUAACAUAUAACAUAUGAAAUGUACAUUGACUAUUUAUGUUAUUGGUAAGCAUCCAGUUAACAGGAAGCUGUUGGUAAAGUUUUGGGGGAAUCAAAAGUUAUAUGUGGAUUUUUGACUAUGCCGGGGUCAGUGCCUCUAACCCCCAUGCUGUUCAAGGGUCAACUGUACUUUGUUUUGAUAUCAUGUCCAUACAACUAUUUACAGAAGGGUAAAAAUAGGCUUUCUUCUAGUUUCUGUAAUGAAAGUGAUUAUUAUUUUAUUUUCUGAUUAUAAAUAAUAUAGACUCAUUGUAAAGAAUUUGAAUAAUUCAGAAAUAUUUAAAAGAAGUAAAUACAUGAAGUCCUACCACCUUGAGAGAACCACCGUUAACAGUAACCAUCUUUGCAUGGAGACACACAGACUAUAAUAUGUAUAUAUAUAUGGAUAUAGAUACAGUAUACAGAUACAGAGAGACUUGGGAUUACAAGAUACAUAUGGUUUUAUCAUAAACAUCUUCUCUCUCCUUCUUACUCCUCCCCACCCCCCUCUGUCCUCCAGAUAAUCAUACAAAGACUAUGUUUUGUUCGUAGAUGCUGAGUCUUGAGGGAUAAAUACGAGUUGAGGAGCAAAGGCAGAGAGGUGACAGGCAGUCCAGACAAGGAAAACAGCACAUGCAAAGGCAAGGAAGCAAGAGCUCUCUGAGCAGUGCUUCCUGAAACUUCAAUGUGCAUACAAGUUACAUUGGCUGACAUGCAGCUUAUGAAUCAGCAGAUCAGGGGUGGGGCUGAGAUUCUUUACUUCUAACAGGCUUUCAGGUGAGGUCCCUGCUGCUGGCUCACACUUGGAGAUAAAAAUUGCUGUGCUAUGCAGUAUGGUAUCUACCAGUCACUUGUGACUAUUGAAAUUUAAAUUAAAGGUAAAUAAAAAUUAAAAAUCAGUUCCCUUGUUGUAUUAGUCACAUGUCAAGUACUGACUAGCCACAUGUGGCAGCCAUAUUGGACAGCACAGUUACAGAACGUUCCCAUUAUCACAGGGAGUUAUAUGGGACAGCGCUAGACAGAGCAUUCGGGGAGCUACA